CAGCAGCCACGGGAAUACAGAGGGUGCAAGCGUUAAUCGGAAUUACUGGGCGUAAAGCGCGCGUAGGUGGUUUGUUAAGUUGGAUGUGAAAUCCCCGGGCUCAACCUGGGAACUGCAUCCAAAACUGGCAAGCUAGAGUAUGGUAGAGGGUGGUGGAAUUUCCUGUGUAGCGGUGAAAUGCGUAGAUAUAGGAAGGAACACCAGUGGCGAAGGCGACCACCUGGACUGAUACUGACACUGAGGUGCGAAAGCGUGGGGAGCAAACAGGAUUAGAUACCCGAGUAGUCCCUGUCUCUUAUAC
rnacentral:rRNA from 1 species